rnacentral:rRNA from 1 species
AUUGAACGCUGGCGGCAUGCUUUACACAUGCAAGUCGAGCGGUAACAGGCCUUCGGGUGCUGACGAGUGGCGAACGGGUGAGUAAUGCAUCGGAACGUACCCAGAGGUGGGGGAUAACGCAGCGAAAGCUGUGCUAAUACCGCAUGUGAUCUGAGGAUGAAAGCGGGGGACCGAGCAGCAAUGUUUGGCCUCGCGCCUUUGGAGCGGCCGAUGUCGGAUUAGCUAGUUGGUGGGGUAAAGGCCUACCAAGGCGACGAUCCGUAGCAGGUCUGAGAGGACGACCAGCCACACUGGGACUGAGACACGGCCCAGACUCCUACGGGAGGCAGCAGUGGGGAAUUUUGGACAAUGGGCGCAAGCCUGAUCCAGCAAUGCCGCGUGCGGGAAGAAGGCCUUCGGGUUGUAAACCGCUUUUGGCAGGAACGAAACGGUGUCCGCUAAUACCGGGCGCUAAUGACGGUACCUGCAGAAUAAGCACCGGCUAACUACGUG